rnacentral:tRNA from 1 species
GCCCGAGUAGCUCAGUUGGUAGAGCGACGCUCUCGUAAAGCGUAGGUCAGGAGUUCAAUUCUCCUCUCGGGCU